rnacentral:rRNA from 1 species
AACCUCCGCAAUGUGAGAAAUCGCGACGGGGGGAUCCCAAGUGCCAUUCUUAACGGGAUGGCUUUUCUUAAGUGUAAAAAGCUUUUGGAAUAAGAGCUGGGCAAGACCGGUGCCAGCCGCCGCGGUAACACCGGCAGCUCUAGUGGUAGCAAUUUUUAUUGGGCCUAAAGCGUCCGUAGCCGGUUUAAUAAGUCUCUGGUGAAAUCCUGUAGCUUAACUGUGGGAAUUGCUGGAGAUACUAUUAGACUUGAGACCGGGAGAGGUUAGAGGUACUCCCAGGGUAGAGGUGAAAUUCUGUAAUCCUGGAAGGACCGCCUGUUGCGAAGGCGUCUAGCUGGAACGGUUCUGACGGUGAGGGACGAAAGUUAGGGGCGCGAACCGGAUUAGAUACCCGGGUAGUCCUAACUGUAAACGAUGCGGACUUGGUGUUGGGGUGGCUUUGAGCUGCUCCAGUGCCGAAGGGAAGCUGUUAAGUCCGCCGCCUGGGAAGUACGGUCGCAAGACUGAAACUUAAAGGAAUU